UAGCAUAUGCUUGUCUCUGAGACUAAGCCAUGCAUGUCUAAGUAUAAACAAAUUUGUACUGUGAAACUGCGGACGGCUCAUUAAAUCAGUUACAAUCUACUUGAUCGUAUAUUCAAUGAAUUAAUCGGGUAACCCUAGUAAUUCUAGAGCUAAUACGUGCAAAAAACUCUGACCUCUUUUUAAGGGGAAGGAGUGUAUUUAUUAGGUAAAAAACCACUCAUCCUUCGGGGUGUCUUUUGAUGAUUCAUAAUAACUAAGCAAAUCGCAGGCCAUGCUU
rnacentral:rRNA from 1 species